rnacentral:rRNA from 1 species
GACGAACGCUGGCGGCGUGCCUAACACAUGCAAGUCGAACGAAGCGGGGACGGGUGAGUAACACGUGGAUAACCUCCUAUAAGACUGGGAUAAAUUCGGGAAACCGGUGCUAAACCGGAAACUUAUAGAUGGAUGCGUGCUGCAUUAGCUGGUUGGUACGGUAACGGCUUACCAAGGCAACGAUGUAUAGCCGACCGGAGAGGGUGAUCGGCCACACUGGAACGGAGACACGGUCCAGACUCCUCCGGUAGGCAGCAGUAGGGAAUAUUCCGCAAUGGGCGAAAGCCUGACGGAGCAACGCCGCGUGGGUGAUGAAGGUCUUCGGGUCGUAAAGCUCUGUUAUUAGGGAAGCGGUACCUAAUCAGGAAGCCACGGCUAACUACGUGCCAGCAGCCGCGGUAAUAC